UCUCGGCUCUUGCAUCGAUGAAGAACGUAGUGAAAUGCGAUACUUGGUGUGAAUUGCAGAAUCUCGUGAACCAUUGAGUCUUUGAACGCAAGUUGUGCCCGAGGCCUUGUGGCCGAGGGCACGCCUGCUUGGGCGUCAUGGCAUCGUCGCCUUUGCUCCUUGCUU
rnacentral:rRNA from 6 species